rnacentral:rRNA from 1 species
UACAGAGGGGGCAAGCGUUAUUCGGAAUUAUUGGGCGUAAAGGGCGCGUAGGCGGCCUGGCAAGUGGAAGGUGAAAUCCCUCGGCUUAACCGAGGAACUGCCCUCCAAACUGCUUGGCUUGAGUCCGGGAGAGGUGAGUGGAAUUCCCAGUGUAGCAGUGAAAUGCGUAGAUAUUGGGAGGAACACCAGUGGCGAAGGCGGGUCUCUGGGCCGAUAUUGACGCUGAGGAGCGAAAGCGUGGGGAGCGAACAGG